CAGACAGGUUCACUCUCUAACAACCGGUGCAGAAGUGCCCAUGAGCCAGGCGCACAGCCCUGACAAAGUGUAGGGAGGCGUUGAGUCCAUGGUGAUUCUGUCUUUUCUUUCCCCUUUCAUCUUCGUCAUUAGCAAAACUGCACACGAAGUAGAGAAAUUACAUUUUCACAUUCCACUCUCUCAUCAUUUUUUUUCGCCCCCACUUUGUUUCUCUCACCCUUCGUUGCUCUCCGUCUUUCAUGUAUGGAUCAGAGAAGCUUGCCACCUAUCACAAGGGUCUGGAGAGGCUUUCCAAUGAAAGCCGGUGUUACAGGCCUGAUUUAACAGGGCGCUCACACAAAGACCCCACUGUCUCUCCGUCCCUCUGACUUUCUGCAUCGCCCACCUGUCGGAUAUCCCUCUGCCUUCCUUUCCUCAAACACGCUUUCUCUGUAAUGUCACUCGCUCACGGACUCUCGCUCUCUUUUUGCACACACACAUCGGGCCGCCUCAGCCCUUGUUCUCUCACAAUGGGAUUAGCGGUGUGAUUCCUCCACUCCUUUUAAGUGGGCACGCCACCAAUCCACUUGCCAUAGACUCCGCUGAAUACUUAAAAAGAGGGAAGAGGAGGGGAGGGAGAAAGAAGGGGACAAGGGAAAAGGAGGGAAGAUGAAAGGGCAUGUGAACGGGAGGAAAAGGGAGUGAGGAGAGAUGAAAAGGGGACCCGGAUGGGAGGAGGAGGAGGACACGAUCCUAUUUGUGUGUGAAGUUACUCGACACUUUUUAGAUGAUCAAACGUGACUCCGUCUGGAACAGACCAGAUGGAGAGAUGGAAGGAAGACAGCAAGACAGAGCAAAGAAAGAGAAGGAAGCGCAGGACAUAGAAGGGGGAUCGGCUGGGGACUAAUAGCCAGAGAUUCAUUGUGACAUCAACUCCAAUAUUUCCGGAGAAGUCUGCAGCAGGUGAAAGUGCUUAUUUGUGCUUCUAGGAUUAUUAUGUGUCUGGCAUCAGUCGGAUAAAGGGACCUUCUGUGCCUGGUCCCGUCUGUUUGUUAUCAUGUCAGCCAUGCCACUGAUAAUUCUCUUAUGUAACACGAGUUCUGUACUGCAACAUCACAAACUGACAACACCGGCACUCAUCUCUCAAACUCUUGCUCAACUUUUGUUUGAGGGUUAGCCAACAAUCCCCAUGACACCACAGCAAGCUGUCCUCAAAAACUGUUGCUCCAAGUAGUCACUUGGGCUCGAAAAACAUCUCUUGGAACAUUGCUUGAACUUUUGACUGUGACUCUGACAUAAACAAGUGGCAGCAAUACCACUUAGAGGUGCGUCCUGAGGGGUCAGUCACUUUUCUAACAACUAUAACAAGCGUCGUACACGUUAAAACCUCUUCUCUUCUAUGAUGAGCGGCUUGGGUGGAAACCACGUUCCCUUCAAUAAGCUGACCUCCGCAACCG
ensembl:lncRNA